UAAAAGAGCUCGUAGGUGGUUGGUCACGUCUGCUGUGGAAACGCAACGCUUAACGUUGCGCGUGCAGUGGGUACGGGCUGACUAGAGUGCAGUAGGGGAGUCUGGAAUUCCUGGUGUAGCGGUGAAAUGCGCAGAUAUCAGGAGGAACACCGGUGGCGAAGGCGGGACUCUGGGCUGUAACUGACACUGAGGAGCGAAAGCAUGGGGAGCGAACAGGAUUAGAUACCCUGGUAGUCCAUGCCGUAAACGUUGGGCACUAGGUGUGGGGGGCAUUCCACGUUCUCCGCGCCGUAGCUAACGCAUUAAGUGCCCCGCCUGGGGAGUACGGUCGCAAGGCUAAAACUCAAAGGAAUUGACGGGGGCCCGCACAAGCGGCGGAGCAUGCGGAUUAAUUCGAUGCAACGCGAAGAACCUUACCAAGGCUUGACAUACACCGGACCGUCCUGGAAACAGGUCUUCUUCUUUGAAGCUGGUGUACAGGUGGUGCAUGGUUGUCGUCAGCUCGUGUCGUGAGAUGUUGGGUUAAGUCCCGCAACGAGCGCAACCCUCGUUCUAUGUUGCCAGCACGUGAUGGUGGGAACUCAUAGGAGACUGCCGGGGUCAACUCGGAGGAAGGUGGGGAUGACGUCAAAUCAUCAUGCCCUUUAUGUCUUGGGCUUCACGCAUGCUACAAUGGCUGGUACAGAGAGAGGCGAACCCGUGAGGGCAAGCGAAUCCCUUAAAGCCAGUCUCAGUUCGGAUCGUAGUCUGCAAUUCGACUACGUGAAGUCGGAGUCGUAGUAAUCGCAGAUCAGCAACGCUGCGGUGAAUACGUUCCCGGGC
rnacentral:rRNA from 1 species